AUUGAACGCUGGCGGCAGGCUUAACACAUGCAAGUCGAACGAGUGGCGGACGGGUGAGUAAUGUCUGGGAAACUGCCCGAAGGAGGGGGAUAACUACUGGAAACGGUAGCUAAUACCGCAUACCAUCGGAUGUGCCCAAGUGGGAUUAGCGAGUAGGUGGGGUAAAGGCUCACCUAGGCGAAGAUCCCUAGCUGGUCUGAGAGGAUGACCAGCCACACGUGAACUGAGACACGGUCCAGACUCCUACGGGAGGCAGCAGUGGGGAAUAUUGCACAAUGGGCGCAAGCCUGAAGCAGCCAUGCCGCGUGUAUGAAGAAGGCCUUCGGGUUGUAAAGUACUUUCAGCGGGGAGGCGUUACCCGCAGAAGAAGCACCGGCUAACUCCGUGCCAGCAGCCGCGGUAAUUC
rnacentral:rRNA from 1 species